UACAGAGGUCUCAAGCGUUGUUCGGAUUCAUUGGGCGUAAAGGGUGCGUAGGUGGCGCCGUAAGUCAGGUGUGAAAUUUCGGAGCUUAACUCCGAAACUGCAUUUGAUACUGCGGUGCUUGAGGACUGGAGAGGAGACUGGAAAUUUACGGUGUAGCAGUGAAAUGCGUAGAGAUCGUAAGGAAGACCAGUGGCGAAGGCGGGUCUCUGGACA
rnacentral:rRNA from 1 species